rnacentral:rRNA from 1 species
AUUGAACGCUGGCGGCAGGCCUAACACAUGCAAGUCGAACGAGUGGCGGACGGGUGAGUAAUGUCUGGGCAACUGCCUGAUGGAGGGGGAUAACUACUGGAAACGGUCGCUAAUACCGCAUACCAUCAGAUGUGCCCCGAUGGGAUUGGCUUGUUGGUGGGGUAAUGGCUCACCAGGGCGACGAUCCCUACCUGGUCUGAGAGGAUGACCAGCCACACUGGAACGUGGACACGGUCCAUACUCCUACGGGAGGCAGCAGUGGGGAAGAUGGCACAAUGGGCGCAAGCCUUAUGCAGCCAUGCCGCGUGUAUGAAGAAGGCCUUCGGGUUGUAAAGUACGUUCUGCGGGGAGGCGUUACCCGCAGAAGAAGCACCGGCUAACUCCGUGCCAGCAGCCGCGGUAAUAC